AUUGAACGCUGGCGGCAGGCUUAACACCUGCAAGUCGAGCGAGCGGCGGACGGGUGAGUGAUGGAUGGAGAUCUGCCCGAUAGAGGGGGAUAACUACUGGAAACGGUGGCUAAUACCGCAUACUAUAGGAUGAGCCCACGUGGGAUUAGGUAGGUGGGGCGGUAAAGGCUCACCAACCGACGAUCUCUAGCUGGUCUGAGAGGAGGACCAGCCACACUGUGACGGGGACACGGCCCAGACUCCUACGGGAGGCAGCAGUGGGGAAUCGUGCGCAAUGGGGGCAACCCUGACGCAGCAAUGCCGCGUGAAUGAAGAAGGCCUUCGGGUUGUAAAGUUCUUUCGGUAGCGAGGCGUUAACUACAGAAGAAGCACCGGCUAACUCCGUGCCAGCAGCCGCGGUAAUAC
rnacentral:rRNA from 1 species